rnacentral:lncRNA from 1 species
UCAUCAUAUGAGGUGGGAUCACCCUCCAUAUGAAAUUCCUCUGUGUUAAAAACUUCAUAGUCAUCUGGGAUAGCUGACCUUCUGAUUCUUUGAGAUCUUCUCGGUGCCUCCACAGUUGGCACUUGAUCUGGUUGGGGCUGUUGUUGCUCCCCCUCGCCUGUGGCAACUGGUUCUUCUAUGGGCUCCUGAAGGACAGGUUCCUCAUUUUCAUCUGUUGUUGCCACAGGAGAGUGAGCAAUUGUUUCUGGCAUCACAGUGUCGGGCACUGUUGGUGCAUUCACAAUGGGUAAUUCAAAAAAUGGCUCUUGAAUCAUCGGAGUGGGUGCAUACACCCGCUUCUCUUCAAGAUCAAUCUUUCGAGCUACCACGCUCCCCCUGAUCAGCUCAUCCUCUAGAAAUACGGCGUGUCUCGUUUCUACAAACUUUGUAUAUCUGUCUGGACAGUAGAAACGAUAACCCUUUGAUUUUUCUGGGUAGCCAAUGAAAUGGCAACUGACUGUUUUGGGAUCUAGCUUUCCAAUA